rnacentral:rRNA from 1 species
AAGGAAUAUUGGACAAUGGGCGGAAGCCUGAUCCAGCCAUGCCGCGUGAAGGAAGAAGGCGCUCAGCGUUGUAAACUUCUUUUGAAUGGGAACAAUAACCUCCACGAGUUGGGGGCUUGAGGGUACCAUUAGAAUAAGCACCGGCUAACUCCGUGCCAGCAGCCGCGGUAAUACGGAGGGUGCAAGCGUUAUCCGGAAUCACUGGGUUUAAAGGGUGCGUAGGCGGUUCGGUAAGUCAGUUGUGAAAUCUCUUGGCUUAACCAAUGAAAUUGCGAUUGAUACUGUCGGACUUGAAUCAGGUUGAGGUAGGCGGAAUGUGGCAUGUAGCGGUGAAAUGCAUAGAUAUGCCAUAGAACACCGAUUGCGAAGGCAGCUUGCUGGACCUGAAUUGACGCUGAGGCACGAAAGCGUGGGGAGCAAAC